CCUGCCUGUGGGUUGAAGAUUUGACAAUGAUGUCCUUGGACCAGCUUUUGUUCCCUCAGAUCUGAACUGCUCCCAAGUCUGUGGAUCAAUGGAACGACACUAAAUGGCACAGAUACACCACGUCACGCAGAAUUUCAGGGGAUUUAACUUAUCUGAACAUAUCACGUGUGAAAAGGCUUUUUCCGAGCCCUGUAGAUGGGUCAGGGAUAUGGAAAUGCAAGUGGAAGAAAGUACAAGGAGGCUUUAGCAGGGACGGGGAGGGUUAUGCCACAGCAAGAAGACUCUCACCAGAUGCCAGUGCCAUGCUGUUGGACUUCCCAGCCUCCAGAACUUUCAGAGACACCCCUGCCCCCAGAUUCAUACUCCAGGCUGGGAGCCACUGGCAUAACUGACGGAUGAAAAGAAGAGAAGAAUGGACACAGAGAGAUUGGAGGUGGAGAAUGAGAGCAGGCUUGUAAGGAAUGAGAUCCAGCAUUAGAAGGGAGAGAUGUAUCUUUCCCUGUGACUUGGUUUCCCCAUUCAAGGAAGAGGAAGUAGGUGGGUACAGCAUAUAUUAGGUCAUCAGGAAAGCAGGUAAGGAAGCUUUCCUCAGAUGGCCUCAGAGUGAAUGAAUGGAUGAAUGAAAGCAAGAGGUUGUUUUAAGCAAGUAAGGGAGAAACCCGGAUGUUACAGGAAACCUAAGGAGAGAAGUUCCGGAACUGAUCUGAGGACUGAGCCAGGGAGUCCAGGAGAGCAGAGGCCAGGGGCUAGAUGGAGUGGGUGAGCAUCCAUUUCUGCUGGCCAGGCUGGUUCACCUGGGGACUUUCUUCAGAAAUUCUGUGCUGCAGGAGGAGACAGCAGAUUGAAGUGACAGCCUAGUGGGUGGAUUCUUUGAAAGCUGAGGAGGAGUGAGAAGCCUUG
rnacentral:lncRNA from 1 species